CCUACGGGUGGCUGCAGUGAGGAAUAUUGGUCAAUGGUCGGGAGACUGAACCAGCCAAGCCGCGUGAGGGAGGAAGGUACAGAGUAUCGUAAACCUCUUUUGUCAGGGAACAAAGGCGGGGACGUGUCCCCUGAUGAGUGUACCUUAAGAACAAGCAUCGGCUAACUCCGUGCCACCAGCCGCGGUAAUACGGAGGAUGCGAGCGUUGUCCGGAUUUAUUGGGGUUAAGGGGUGCGCGGGCGGUCUGUUAAGUCGGCGGUCAAAGCCCGGGGCUCACCCCCGGCCCGCCGUUGAAACUGGCAGUCUCGAGUUGGAGAGAAGUAGGCGGAAUGCGCGGUGUAGCGGUGAAAUGCAUAGAUAUCGCGAAGAACUCCGAUUGCGAAGGCAGCAUGUCGGCUCCACACUGACGCUGAGGCACGAAAGCGUGGGUAUCGAACAGGAUUAGAUACCCUGGUAGUC
rnacentral:rRNA from 1 species